GACGAACGCUGGCGGCGUGCUUAACACAUGCAAGUCGAACGGAAAGGCUCCAGCUUGCUGGAGUACUCGAGUGGCGAACGGGUGAGUAACACGUGGGUAAUCUGCCCUGCACUCUGGGAUAAGCCUGGGAAACUGGGUCUAAUACUGGAUAUGACCUUUCUCCUUAUGGGGUUUGGUGGAAAGUUUUUCGGUGUAGGAUGAGCCCGCGGCCUAUCAGCUUGUUGGUGGGGUGAUGGCCUACCAAGGCGACGACGGGUAGCCGGCCUGAGAGGGUGAUCGGCCACAUUGGGACUGAGAUACGGCCCAGACUCUUACGGGAGGCAGCAGUGGGGAAUAUUGCACAAUGGGCGGAAGCCUGAUGCAGCGACGCCGCGUGAGGGAUGACGGCCUUCGGGUUGUAAACCUCUUUCAGCAGGAACGAAGCGUAAGUGACGGUACCUGCAGAAGAAGCACCGGCUAACUAUGUG
rnacentral:rRNA from 1 species